rnacentral:rRNA from 1 species
GCAUCGAUGAAGAACGCAGCAAAGUGCGAUAAGUAGUGUGAAUUGCAGAUUUUGUGAAUCAUUGAAUCUUUGAACGCAAGUGGCGGGCCUCGCAAGAGACCCAUGCUUGGCUGAGGGUUGUUUUCUACGACUGAGGCGUGCACUCUGACCUGUGUUGGUUGGGGAGCUCCCUCGAAAUGGCGCGACGCGGACUGAGCAAGAGCGGGGCAGUGCCCUGCUUGCUUUGAUUGCUCUGUUUGCCAAUGAAUGUCGCAAUACACAACAUUUACGCAACCUCAGAUUAAGCAAGACUACCCGCUGAACUUAAGCAUAUCAAUAAGCGGAGGA